CGGCUAACUACGUGCCAGCAGCCGCGGUAAUACGUAGGGCGCAAGCGUUGUCCGGAAUUAUUGGGCGUAAAGAGCUCGUAGGCGGUUUGUCGCGUCUGCUGUGAAAGCCCGGGGCUCAACCCCGGGUCUGCAGUGGGUACGGGCAGACUAGAGUGCAGUAGGGGAGACUGGAAUUCCUGGUGUAGCGGUGAAAUGCGCAGAUAUCAGGAGGAACACCGAUGGCGAAGGCAGGUCUCUGGGCUGUAACUGACGCUGAGGAGCGAAAGCAUGGGGAGCGAACAGGAUUAGAUACCCUGGUAGUCCAUGCCGUAAACGUUGGGCACUAGGUGUGGGGGACAUUCCACGUUUUCCGCGCCGUAGCUAACGCAUUAAGUGCCCCGCCUGGGGAGUACGGCCGCAAGGCUAAAACUCAAAGGAAUUGACGGGGGCCCGCACAAGCGGCGGAGCAUGCGGAUUAAUUCGAUGCAACGCGAAGAACCUUACCAAGGCUUGACAUGGACCGGACCGCCGCAGAAAUGCGGUUUCCCUUCGGGGCCGGUUUACAGGUGGUGCAUGGUUGUCGUCAGCUCGUGUCGUGAGAUGUUGGGUUAAGUCCCGCAACGAGCGCAACCCUCGUUCUAUGUUGCCAGCGCGUUAUGGCGGGGACUCAUAGGAGACUGCCGGGGUCAACUCGGAGGAAGGUGGGGACGACGUCAAAUCAUCAUGCCCCUUAUGUCUUGGGCUUCACGCAUGCUACAAUGGCCGGUACAAAGGGUUGCGAUACUGUGAGGUGGAGCUAAUCCCAAAAAGCCGGUCUCAGUUCGGAUUGAGGUCUGCAACUCGACCUCAUGAAGUCGGAGUCGCUAGUAAUCGCAGAUCAGCAACGCUGCGGUGAAUACGUUCCCGGGCCUUGUACACACCGCCCGUCAAGUCACGAAAGUUGGUAACACCCGAAGCCG
rnacentral:rRNA from 1 species